GAUUGAACGCUGGCGACAUGCCUUACACAUGCAAGUCGAACGGCAGCACGGGUGCUUGCACCUGGUGGCGAGUGGCGAACGGGUGAGUAAUACAUCGGAACAUGUCCUGUAGUGGGGGAUAGCCCGGCGAAAGCCGGAUUAAUACCGCAUACGAUCUACGGAUGAAAGCGGGGGACCUUCGGGCCUCGCGCUAUAGGGUUGGCCGAUGGCUGAUUAGCUAGUUGGUGGGGUAAAGGCCUACCAAGGCGACGAUCAGUAGCUGGUCUGAGAGGACGACCAGCCACACUGGGACUGAGACACGGCCCAGACUCCUACGGGAGGCAGCAGUGGGGAAUUUUGGACAAUGGGCGAAAGCCUGAUCCAGCAAUGCCGCGUGUGUGAAGAAGGCCUUCGGGUUGUAAAGCACUUUUGUCCGGAAAGAAAUCCUUGGCCCUAAUACGGUCGGGGGAUGACGGUACCGGAAGAAUAAGCACCGGCUAACUACGUG
rnacentral:rRNA from 1 species